UAACAUUUUCGGGGCAAGGUGUAAUUCCUUACCGGCGGUAUAGUCCGCGAGCCAAACAGGCAUGAUCUGGUGCAAUUCCAGAACCGAUAGUGAUAGUCUAGAUGAGAGAAAAUGGUU
rnacentral:ncRNA from 2 species